UACGAGGGGGGCAAGCGUUGUUCGGAAUUAUUGGGCGUAAAGGGUGCGUAGGCGGUCUGACAAGUCUGAUGUGAAUUCUAUGGGCUCAACCCAUAGUCUGCAUCGGAAACUGUCGGGCUUGAGUAUGGGAGAGGUGAGUGGAAUUUCCGGUGUAGCGGUGAAAUGCGUAGAUAUCGGAAGGAACACCUGUGGCGAAAGCGGCUCACUGGACCAUUACUGACGCUGAGGCACGAAAGCUAGGGGAGCAAACAGG
rnacentral:rRNA from 1 species